UACGUAGGGUGCAAGCGUUGUCCGGAAUUAUUGGGCGUAAGAGCUCGUAGCGGUCUGUCGCGUCGGCUGUGAAAACCGAGGCUCAACCUCGGGCCUGCAGUCGAUACGGGCAAACUAGAGUACUGCAGGGGAGACUGGAAUUCCUGGUGUAGCGGUGAAAUGCGCAGAUAUCGAGAGGAACACCUGCGGCGAAGGCGGGUUGCUGGGCUGACACUGACGCUGGAUGCGGCGAAAGCUAGGGGAGCGAACGGG
rnacentral:rRNA from 1 species